UAGGGAAUCUUCCGCAAUGGGCGAAAGCCUGACGGAGCAACGCCGCGUGAGUGAUGAAGGUCUUCGGAUCGUAAAACUCUGUUAUUAGGGAAGAACAAAUGUGUAAGUAACUAUGCACGUCUUGACGGUACCUAAUCAGAAAGCCACGGCUAACUACGUGCCAGCAGCCGCGGUAAUACGUAGGUGGCAAGCGUUAUCCGGAAUUAUUGGGCGUAAAGCGCGCGUAGGCGGUUUUUUAAGUCUGAUGUGAAAGCCCACGGCUCAACCGUGGAGGGUCAUUGGAAACUGGAAAACUUGAGUGCAGAAGAGGAAAGUGGGAUUCCAUGUGUAGCGGUGGAAUGCGCAGAGAUAUGGAGGAACACCAGUGGCGAAGGCGACUUUCUGGUCUGUAACUGACGCUGAUGUGCGAAAGCGUGGGGAUCAAACAGG
rnacentral:rRNA from 1 species